UGCGUGGCAGCAAGCCCUUUUUGGUCUUUUUACUCAUCAAGCUUAUCCCUUUUAACCCCAGCUCGACCCCUGCAACUUGGAUAAGCAUCCUUGAGCUCAGCAAAGUGGGUUUGAAGGGACUGUUUUGGAGUUGCUGUGGGUAAAAGAAUGAGGAGUAUUAAGGGGUAUUUCGUGACCUUGCACACUCUUAUAGCUGGUUGAGGUUUUGGAAAGCUGAAUUGGGAGAAGCCACAAGACAGCUAGAGAAGGGUUUAACUCCUGAAAUUUUCUACUAUAAUUUCCUAGAAAGCUGAAUUGAACUUGGAGAAUCUGUAUGUUAUCCAUUUAGAGCUGAUUUGAAGAAUGGUUAUGAGCCGAAUUAAGAUGUGUAACCGGAGUCGAGGUGGAGGAUUAACACUGCGCUGAACCUAGAUUUAUAACAGGGUAAUGGAUAACUUUCGGCUAUAUAUUGAGAGCCUUCGGAGAUGGAAUUGAGCGUGCUAACCUGAACCAAAACAAGGGUGUAAGCUGUGACCGGGUAUAAGGGAAAAUGUUGCUGAAAAUGAAUGUUUUGAUAUAAAUUUCGAUGCAGUUUUAUAAGUAAAUCGCAGCAGGGUUAAGACCUGGUUGAGCUGAAUUCGGGACUCAUUUGAGCAGGUUUGAGCUGAGUUUUGGGGAGCUUCUACAUACAUUGGAGAGUGGAUUUAAUCUCCCUUUUAACUUAGGAACCUGGAUGCUUGAAUUGCUCACCGUGUGAGAUUGACAAGAGGCAUCGUUUAGUAGAGCCAUCAACAGGAGAGGCUAGGGAUCGUGGCAAGGGAGUCGCGUCUAACUAGAUAUAGCUUGGAGCUUGACUAGAUGAUCACCUUGCUACUCGGGCUACGGCCAAGGGUGAUGUCCCCGUAUAUAGAAAGACUACCAUUGUACAUAUAUUUUGUGUACCCUGUGAUGUAUAUGUGAUUUGAAUCAGAGAUUACAGUUUUGGUGUUUUCCUGUGGAAUUGAGAAUCUGAGCUGUUUAUACUUACUGUUUUCUGAUGGUUGUAUUAUCGACUUAUACUUUGCUUUGAUAUCAGGUUAGAAUUCUUCUA